rnacentral:rRNA from 1 species
CAAAGAUUAAGCCAUGCAUGUCCAAGUACAAGCUUUCAAAAGCGAAACUGCGGAUGGCUCAUUAAAUCAGUUAUGGUUCCUUGGAGCGCAUCCCCUUACAUGGAUAACUGUGGUAAUUCUAGAGCUAAUACAUGCAAUCAAGCGCCGACCUUACGGGAGGCGUGCUCUUAUUAGGAACAAGACCAACCCGGGUCCGCCCGGCUCCGUUGGUGAACUCUGGAUAACCUGGCCGAUCGCACGGUCUCUGCACCGGCGACGGAUCCUUCGAAUGUCUGCCCUAUCAACUUUCGAUGGUACGUUAUGCGCCUACCAUGGUCGUAACGGGUAACGGAGAAUCAGGGUUCGAUUCCGGAGAGGGAGCUUGAGAAACGGCUACCACAUCC